GCACCUAUGCUGGCAGCUGUUGCUGUGAUACUUUAACAAGGAAAGAAAGGAAUAAGCUUUACUUUCUGGAAGAAACCAUACCAUGUUUCUAAACCACGCUCUUACACAAGCCAUGCAUGGAAGUGCCAGUGUUUUGUGGACAGAAUCCAGAUGUAGACCCGAACCAACACAGAAACAUCUGCAAGAAACACAUCAGUAUUUUUAAAAUCAACUCUUUGUUCUCCUCUAGGAUGAUCUGAAAAUCCAAUACCCACAUGACAAGUGUUAUAUAAUGCCCCUGUGGCAAGUCUUAUUUAACCAAAUACAGAUGUGUUGACUGUCAGGCA